GUAACGAGCGCAACCCUUGUCCUUAGUUACCAGCACGUUAUGGUGGGCACGUCUAAGGAGACUGCCGGGUGACAAACCGGAGGAAGGUGGGGAUGACGUCAAGUCAUCAUGGCCCUUACGGCCUGGGCUACACACGUGCUACAAUGGUCGGUACAAAGGGUUGCCAAGCCGCGAGGUGGAGCUAAUCCCAUAAAACCGAUCGUAGUCCGGAUCGCAGUCUGCAACUCGACUGCGUGAAGUCGGAAUCGCUAGUAAUCGUGAAUCAGAAUGUCACGGUGAAUACGUUCCCGGGCCUU
rnacentral:rRNA from 1 species